rnacentral:rRNA from 1 species
UACGUAGGGUGCGAGCGUUGUUCGGAAUCAUUGGGCGUAAAGCGUGCGUAGGUGGUUUGCUAAGUCGGGUGUGAAAUCCCUGGGCUCAACCCAGGAAGUGCAUUCGAAACUAGCUGGCUAGAAGAUGGUAGAGGAAGGUGGAAUUCCAAGUGUAGAGGUGAAAUUCGUAGAUAUUUGGAGGAAUACCGGCGGCGAAGGCGGCCUUCUGGACCAUUCUUGACACUGAGACACGAAAGCGUGGGUAGCAAACAGG